rnacentral:rRNA from 1 species
AUUGAACGCUGGCGGCAGGCCUAACACAUGCAAGUCGAACGGUAACAGGAAGCAGCUUGCUGCUUUGCUGACGAGUGGCGGACGGGUGAGUAAUGUCUGGGAAACUGCCCGAUGGAGGGGGAUAACUACUGGAAACGGUAGCUAAUACCGCAUAACGUCGCAAGACCAAAGAGGGGGACCUUAGGGCCUCUUGCCAUCGGAUGUGCCCAGAUGGGAUUAGCUAGUAGGUGGGGUAACGGCUCACCUAGGCGACGAUCCCUAGCUGGUCUGAGAGGAUGACCAGCCACACUGGAACUGAGACACGGUCCAGACUCCUACGGGAGGCAGCAGUGGGGAAUAUUGCACAAAGGGCGCAAGCCUGAUGCAGCCAUGCCGCGUGUAUGAAGAAGGCCUUCGGGUUGUAAAGUACUUUCAGCGGGGAGGAAGGGAGUAAAGUUAAUACCUUUGCUCAUUGACGUUACCCGCAGAAGAAGCACCGGCUAACUCCGCG